rnacentral:misc_RNA from 1 species
AGACUCGCGCACGUUCCAGGUGCUCGCCCUUUUCGUCCCUGGCGAAAGGGCAGUUCAACGGGAAACAGGGAGCCGGGCCGGCUGCGCGCCGGACAGGCCAACCUGUGCUGCCCCCGCAACGGUAAGCGACCGCGGUGCGCAUCUGCCAGACCCCGACAUAGCCGACAGCCAGCCUGCCGGCAACGCCGCUGGCAAGGCCGGAUCCCAUUCCCGGCCACAUGCACCGCAGGACCGGCCACACGCCACUGAACCGCAGGUUCGGGAAGGCGCCGGCCCAGUGUCGCCAGCCCGGAUACCGGCCUGAACGCGGGCUGCCGCC